rnacentral:tRNA from 3 species
AGGGGUGUAGCUCAGCUGGUCAGAGCGCUGGUCUCCAAAACCAGAUGUCGCAGGUUCGAAUCCUGCCGCCCCUGCAA